rnacentral:tRNA from 1 species
GGGGGUAUAGCUCAGUGGUAGAGCAUUUCACUGCAAAUAAAAAUGGCAAUUCCUCAGAAAAACAUAGUUACCUUCU